AUGUCGGGGCAGCUUUUUCAUGCGGAGGAAAAACAAACCAGAAGAAAAUGUCGGCGGUGUGGAAAUACUUCAGCAUAGAUACGGCGUCGAGUACAAUAGCUAUAUGCAAGACUUGCGGCACGAAAGUUUCGAGAGGUGGAGUUAAACAGACCAGUUUCAAUACAACGAACCUAAUAAAACAUUUGAAGACGAAACAUGUGAACGAAUACAAAGAGUUUGAGGCUGCAGCAACUGCUAGCAAGCGAGAGCGGGGUGUACAGCAGCAACAAACUCUGGUCAGUUCAUUUCGUAGCAAGGAGCAGAGGGGCGAGAAGAGUGAAGCAGCAAGACAGAUGUCGGAAAAAAAUCACCGAAAUGACUGUUCUCUGUAACCUGCCCCUUUCCUUUGUUGAAAGCGUGGGGUUCCGUUUUUUUAUGGCUCACGCAGUACCUAAGUAUAUGGUCCCAAGUCGCAAAUACAUCACGGAGACGACGAUCCCUGCAGUAACUGAGCUUGUUUUAAGAAAGAUGGAGAAGGCAGGGGCCAUAAGCUUUUCAACUGAUAUCUGGAGCAGCCAAGUCUCCCCACUUCCCCUGCUUAGCUUGACGGCCCACUGGGUGGACAUGGAAACAUUCGUUCAGGAAAGCGUAGUACUUAAUGCGAAUGAAUUCAAGGGAUCACACACCGGCGAAGCUAUUGCAGGAGCAAUAGAGAGCAUGCUGCUCAACUGGAGCAUCCCGAAGUCAAAGGCGUUGCUGUUGAGAAGAGAGAGCAUGAAGCGAGCCACAUCUCCUCUCGCCACUGUGCUGCCCACAGGGUUCCCGCUGCUGUCAGGCACAAAGUAUCCCUCAUGGGUCAAAAACUCUUGAGCUGCACAGGGACACAGAAGUUUGCCUCUGCCCCCUGCUGGCUGCUGUUUGUCUGCUACUACCUGAGGCUGGCAGGUUCUUGAGGCCAGGAGGGCGAACCACAGUCCAGUUGAUGUCCUCAACAUUCAGGAGAAACUUCUCCAUCUCGUGCAUGUUGGUGAGGACGCUUCGGAUCAUCGGCAGCAGGAGGAACCGGAUCAUAUAAGAUGAAUUCGUCCCAGAGUUGGCUAACAACAAAAGAGAUAAACGAUGAAACUCAGAGUGUACCAGGAGGUCAUGGUGAUGAUCCUGUUGACUCGGGCCUGUCGCAUGGCGCUGAUCAUAGCAUUCAUGGACAUCGUGUAGCCCGUCACCGCCGAGAAGAUGGAGGCCGGGAAGCCGAGGCACGACAUGACCACAUCCUG